GAGUUUGAUCCUGGCUCAGGACAAACGCUGGCGGCGUGCAUAAAACAUGCAAGUCGAACGGACCGAUCCCCGCAAGGGGAGAGGUCAGUGGCGAACGGCUGAGUAACACGUAGGUGACCUGCCCCGAAGUGGGGGACAACUCGCCGAAAGGCGAGCUAAUACCGCAUGUGACCACCGGUUCGUUCCGGUGCUCAAAGCAGCAAUGCGCUUCGGGAGGGGCCUGCGGCGGAUUAGCUAGUUGGUGGGGUAAUGGCCUACCAAGGCCGCGAUCCGUAGCUGGUCUGAGAGGAUGACCAGCCAGACUGGGACUGAGACACGGCCCAGACUCCUACGGGAGGCAGCAGUUAGGAAUUUUGUGCAAUGGGGGAAACCCUGACACAGCCACGCCGCGUGCGGGAUGAAGGCCUUCGGGUCGUAAACCGCUUUUCUCGAGGAAGACACCCGACGGUACUCGAGGAAUAAGCAACGGCUAACUACGUGCCAGCAGCCGCGGUAAUACGUAGGUUGCGAGCGUUGUCCGGAUUUACUGGGUGUAAAGCGCGCGCAGGCGGUCUCGAAAGUCCACGGUGAAAGCUCCCGGCCCAACUGGGAGAGGCCCUUGGAAACUUCGGGACUUGAAGGCGGGAGAGGCAAAUGGAAUUUCCGGUGUAGCGGUAAAAUGCGUAGAUACCGGAAGGAACACCAGUGGCGAAGGCGAUUUGCUGGCCCGCACUUGACGCUCAGGCGCGAAAGCUAGGGUAGCGACCGGGAUUAGAUACCCCGUUAGUCCUAGCCGUAAACAAUGGUCACUAGGUGUUGUGGGUAUCGACCCCCGCAGUGCCNAANCUAACGCAUUAAGUGACCCACUGGGGAGUACGACCGCAAGGUNAAACUCAAAGGAUUGACGGGGGCCNCACANCAGCGANCGUGCGUUCAUUCGAUGNUACNNAAAACCUUACCAGCUUGANUGCAUNUGUACNAUCCAAGGUGAGGACCCCANGGACUGCCCAGUUUNCCGCCUCCCACUCUUCUGNAUUGGUUAAUCCCACAGGCACUUUNAAUUCCUCGNAUGCGGAUUUUGAUNCUUAAANGANAGGGGAANCAUC
rnacentral:rRNA from 1 species